UACGUAGGGUGCGAGCGUUGUCCGGAAUUAUUGGGCGUAAAGAGCUCGUAGCGGUGUGUCACGUCGCCGUGAAAACCUGCAGCUUAACUGUGGGCGUGCGGUCGAUACGGGCAUCACUGGAGUUCGGCAGGGGGAGACUGGAAUUCCUGGUGUAGCGGUGAAAUGCGCAGAUAUCAGGAGGAACACCGGUGGCGAAAGGCGGGGGUCUCUGGGGGCCCGAUACUGACGCUGAGGAGCGAAAAGCGUGGGGGGAGCAAAACAGG
rnacentral:rRNA from 1 species